rnacentral:rRNA from 1 species
CACCGCGGUUAUACGAAAGACCCAAGUUGAUAUACACGGCGUAAAGGGUGGUUAGGAAACAUAACAAAUAAAGCUAAAGAUCCUCUAAGCCGUCAUACGCACUCUGAGAACACGAGACCCAUACACGAAAGUAGCUUUAACACACCCCCGACCCCACGAAAGCUAAGAAA